rnacentral:rRNA from 1 species
GAUGAACGCUGGCGGCGUGCCUAAUACAUGCAAGUCGAACGAACAGACGAUGAGAUUGCUCCUUUGACGGUGGCGGCGGACGGGUGAGUAAGGCGUGGAUAAGAUACCUCUAUUACUGGGGGGAUUUCGGAGAGCCGCAUCUGAUAACAGAUCACAUGAUGUACCGCAUGGAUCAGCAGAGAAUGGCGGUUUUCGUGUCACUAUUAGCUGAAGCCGGAUUAGCUAGUUGGGUGGGUAAGGGCCCACCAAGGCGACGAUCCGUAGCUGGUCUGAGAGGAUGAUCAGCCACACUGGAACUGAGACACGGUCCAGACUCCUACGGGAGGCAGCAGUGGGGAAUAUUGGACAAUGGGCGCAAGCCUGAUCCAGCAAUACCGCGUGGGUGAAGAAGGCCUUCGGGUUGUAAAGCCCUUUUGUUGGGAAAGAAAAGCAGCAGGUUAAUACCCCGCUGUUCUGACGGUACCCAAAGAAUAAGCACCGGCUAACUUCGUG